GCCAGCGUAGCUUAGUUGGUAGAGCGCAGCACUUGUAAUGCUGAGGUCUUGGGUUCAACUCCCGACGUUGGCU
rnacentral:tRNA from 1 species